AAAAAUUAACAAAUUUCCCGCGGUUGUCGUCACCUCUGCGCUGCCAUUGGGCGGACGCAGGGAACUUGAUCCGGCAACCACGGGAGGGCUUCGGCUCACAUCUUGUGAACUGUACCGUCUUUGGUGGUGGGGUGGGCAUGGCAGUAUGUUGUGUUCCAUCUGUCAGCUUGGGCUGCAAGGUCCGGGCCGUGGACAAGCCACCGCAUGUUUUCAAACAUUUUCUUUCUUUUUUUGUCUGACAUUUUUGACUUGUAUCAAUAUACAAA
rnacentral:misc_RNA from 1 species